rnacentral:misc_RNA from 1 species
GCUUGCUCAACGGCAUCGCCCUUUGGGGAGAGCCGCAGCAUGCAACCCUUGCCUAUGUCUACCAUUCGUUAUUCCCUCGGCGGGGUGACCUGCCGACGGGGACCAACAAACCCUUUUGCAUAAGCAUCGAAAUUCUGAAAACACGCAAAAUAAUCACAACUUUCAACAAUGGAUCUCUUGGUUCU